UACGGGAGGCAGCAGUGGGGAAUAUUGCACAAUGGGCGCAAGCCUGAUGCAGCCAUGCCGCGUGUAUGAAGAAGGCCUUCGGGUUGUAAAGUACUUUCAGUCGUGAGGAAGGUGUUAAGGUUAAUAACCUUAGCAAUUGACGUUAGCGACAGAAGAAGCACCGGCUAACUCCGUACCAGCAGCCGCGGUAAUACGGAGGGUGCGAGCGUUAAUCGGAAUUACUGGGCGUAAAGGGCACGCAGGCGGUUAAUUAAGUUGGAUGUGAAAUCCCCGGGCUUAACCUGGGAAUGGCAUUCAAGACUGGUUAGCUAGAGUCUUGUAGAGGGGGUAGAAUUCCAUGUGUAGCGGUGAAAUGCGUAGAGAUGUGGAGGAAUACCGGUGGCGAAGGCGGCCCCUGGACAAAGACUGACGCUCAUGUGCGAAAGCGUGGGGAGCAAACAGGGAUUAGAUACC
rnacentral:rRNA from 1 species